rnacentral:rRNA from 1 species
AGAGUUUGAUCCUGGCUCAGGAUGAACGCUAGCGGCAGGCUUAACACAUGCAAGUCGAGGGGCAGCAUAAUGGAUAGCAAUAUCUAUGGUGGCGACCGGCGCACGGGUGCGUAACGCGUAUGCAACCUACCUUUAACAGGGGCAUAACACUGAGAAAUUGGUACUAAUUCCCCAUAACAUUCGAGAAGGCAUCUUCUUGGGUUAAAAACUCCGGUGGUUAAAGAUGGGCAUGCGUUGUAUUAGCUAGUUGGUGAGGUAACGGCUCACCAAGGCAACGAUACAUAGGGGGACUGAGAGGUUAACCCCCCACAUUGGUACUGAGACACGGACCAAACUCCUACGGGAGGCAGCAGUGAGGAAUAUUGGUCAAUGGACGCAAGUCUGAACCAGCCAUGCCGCGUGCAGGAUGACGGCUCUAUGAGUUGUAAACUGCUUUUGUACUAGGGUAAACUCACCUACGUGUAGGUGACUGAAAGUAUAGUACGAAUAAGGAUCGGCUAACUCCGUGCCAGCAGCCGCGGUAAUACGGAGGAUCCAAGCGUUAUCCGGAUUUAUUGGGUUUAAAGGGUGCGUAGGCGGUUUGAUAAGUUAGAGGUGAAAUGUUAGGGCUCAACCCUGAAACUGCCUCUAAUACUGUUGGACUAGAGAGUAGUUGCGGUAGGCGGAAUGUAUGGUGUAGCGGUGAAAUGCUUAGAGAUCAUACAGAACACCGAUUGCGAAGGCAGCUUACCAAACUAUAUCUGACGUUGAGGCACGAAAGCGUGGGGAGCAAACAGGAUUAGAUACCCUGGUAGUCCACGCAGUAAACGAUGAUAACUCGUUGUCGGCGAUACACAGUCGGUGACUAAGCGAAAGCGAUAAGUUAUCCACCUGGGGAGUACGUUCGCAAGAAUGAAACUCAAAGGAAUUGACGGGGGCCCGCACAAGCGGAGGAACAUGUG